ensembl:lncRNA
CGGCUCUCCAGGACCGACGUUCGCCACCCCUGGCCUAGUGUUUUAAAAGUCAUGUGAUGUAUUCCAGCCUUAAUGUGCUCUGUACACAACAACCCAAUUCUGUUAAUUUUGUUACAUCUAUAGCCUAAAUGAGGCCAUAUGGAAUUAAAGAAAACUGUCCACAAACAUUAUGGAAAAACGUCAACAUUAAAGUGAUGAAUUAUAGCAGCAGAUGAAAGCACUAAAGAGAACUCCUGCUGACAAACAAGGUGCUGUUUUAUCUUCACAUGAAGAAGUCACGCUGACAUGCUGAAAUUGCCUUUUAUAGACGACAGCUUUGUGUCAAACUUAUAGUUGUUCACAAUUAACAAAUCAAAGCUUUUAUGAAGUUUUACAGCUGUCAUAAGCUGCUGAAACCACUCUGACGGUGGGAGCAACACUUGAUUAAAUCCAGACCUUUGGAAAUAAAUCACUAAAUAAAUCACUGCUUAGAGUGUAUGAAUUAC